rnacentral:rRNA from 1 species
AUUGAACGCUGGCGGCAGGCCUAACACAUGCAAGUCGAGCGGAGCGGCGGACGGGUGCGUAAUGCUUAGGAAUCUGCCUGGUAGUGGGGGAUAACGUUCGGAAACGGGAGCUAAUACUGCAUACUAACAGAUGAGCCUAGGUCGGAGGAGCUAGUUGGUGGGGUAAAGGCCCACCAAGGCGACGAUCCGUAACUGGUCUGAGAGGAUGAUCAGUCACACUGGGACUGAGACACGGUCCAGACUCCUACGGGAGGCAGCAGUGGGGAAUAUUGGACAAGGGGCGAAAUCCUGAUCCAGCCAUGCCGCGUGUGUGAAGAAGGUCUUCGGGUUGUAAAGCACUUUAAGUUGGGAGGCGUUACCAACAGAAGAAGCACCGGCUAACUUCGUGCCAGCAGCCGCGGUAAUUC